AACUGAAAUCAUAUUUCAACUUGGGUCUGAAGAGAAAGGAUGUUUUUUUUUAGCUUAAUUUGGGCAAAAAGAGAAGAUUUCUACCUUGAAGGAACAGGCGAGGAGUCUGCAGAACGACGUCACGGCUGAGUUUGCCGAAAUGCACCAGAACCUCAGUGACACGGAGCAGUGUGUAAUGCGAGAGCUCAGAGAGUGAGAGGAGGAAAUGUUAUAGGGUUUGAAGAGGCGUUAAAAUCUAUAGACCCAGAAUUAGUAACGUUACAGCGGCAAAUGGAUGAACAGGACAUGGGGUCCUUUCUGAGGGAGGAAGAUUCUCGGAAGAUCAGUGUUAGUGAAGACUGGAUUGAGCCAUCAGUGGUACGAGGAGAUUUGACUCUGGCAAUACCCAAAGACCUCACAGUGUGGAGAGAAAUGAUCCACAUGAUCAGCCUUGGUGAACAGUUCCGGACUCGUCCCUCACUAUAAAGCCCUCACUGUGUGGUAGAUGCAGAUAGUUGUUUUUGGUCAGCAGUUGGGUGUCUGACACACACGGAAACCCAUCACCGUGCUUCUGAGUCUCUGAACCAGUCUGAGAGUUGCAUAUACAUAUGCCACCUACACAUGGAAAUUUCCCUGAGUCUCGCCAGUCCUGACUGUGGGCUUCUCAAACCACCAUCUCAAACACCUCAAUCAAAUCACCCCUCAACCUUCCAAUCUCAAGGGAAUACAAUCUAAGUUUACGCAGCCUUUCCUCGUAACGUAACCCUUUGAGGCCUGGAAACAUUCCAGUGAACCUGUGUUGCACCUCCUCCAGGGCCAAUUAUAUCUUUCCUGAAGAAAGAUAUGUUCACACAGAACCUCAU